GGUACGGGCAGACUAGAGUGAUGUAGGGGAGACUGGAAUUCCUGGUGUAGCGGUGAAAUGCGCAGAUAUCAGGAGGAACACCGAUGGCGAAGGCAGGUCUCUGGGCAUUUACUGACGCUGAGGAGCGAAAGCAUGGGGAGCGAAACAGGAUUAGAUACCCUGGUAGUCCAUGCCGUAAACGUUGGGCACUAGGUGUGGGGGACAUUCCACGUUUUCCGCGCCGUAGCUAACGCAUUAAGUGCCCCGCCUGGGGAGUACGGCCGCAAGGCUAAAACUCAAAGGAAUUGACGGGGGCCCGCACAAGCGGCGGAGCAUGCGGAUUAAUUCGAUGCAACGCGAAGAACCUUACCAAGGCUUGACAUGUGCCAGACCGCCUCAGAGAUGGGGUUUCCCUUCGGGGCUGGUUCACAGGUGGUGCAUGGUUGUCGUCAGCUCGUGUCGUGAGAUGUUGGGUUAAGUCCCGCAACGAGCGCAACCCUCGUUCCAUGUUGCCAGCACGUAAUGGUGGGGACUCAUGGGAGACUGCCGGGGUCAACUCGGAGGAAGGUGGGGAUGACGUCAAAUCAUCAUGCCCCUUAUGUCUUGGGCUUCACGCAUGCUACAAUGGCCGGUACAAUGGGUUGCGAUACUGUGAGGUGGAGCUAAUCCCUAAAAGCCGGUCUCAGUUCGGAUUGGGGUCUGCAACUCGACCCCAUGAAGUCGGAGUCGCUAGUAAUCGCAGAUCAGCAACGCUGCGGUGAAUACGUUCCCGGGCCUUGUACACACCGCCCGUCAAGUCACGAAAGUUGGUAACACCCGAAGCCGAUGGCCUAACCACCUU
rnacentral:rRNA from 1 species